rnacentral:rRNA from 1 species
AGUGACCGAUAGUGAACCAGUACCGUGAGGGAAAGGUGAAAAGCACCCCGGAAGGGGAGUGAAACAGUUCCUGAAACCGUGUGCCUACAAGUAGUUAGAGCCCGUUAAUGGGUGAUAGCGUGCCUUUUGUAGAAUGAACCGGCGAGUUACGAUUUGUUGCAAGGUUAAGCGGAAAAAGCGGAGCCGUAGCGAAAGCGAGUCUGAAUAGGGCGCAUAAGUAACAGGUCGUAGACCCGAAACCAGGUGAUCUACCCAUGUCCAGGAUGAAGGUAAGGUAAUACUUACUGGAGGUCCGAACCCACGCACGUUGAAAAGUGCGGGGAUGAGGUGUGGGUAGCGGAGAAAUUCCAAUCGAACUUGGAGAUAGCUGGUUCUCUCCGAAAUAGCUUUAGGGCUAGCCUCGAGGUAAAGAGUCAUGGAGGUAGAGCACUGUUUGGACUAGGGGCCCUUCUCGGGUUACCGAAUUCAGAUAAACUCCGAAUGCCAUGUACUUAUACUCGGGAGUCAGACUGCGAGUGAUAAGAUCCGUAGUCGAAAGGGAAACAGCCCAGACCACCAGUUAAGGUCCCCAAAUAUAUGUUAAGUGGAAAAGGAUGUGGGGUUGCUUAGACAACCAGGAUGUUGGCUUAGAAGCAGCCACCAUUGAAAGAGUGCGUAAUAGCUCACUGGUCGAGUGACCCCGCGCCGAAAAUGUACCGGGGCUAAACAUAUUACCGAAACUGUGGAUGAACCUCUUUAGAGGUUCGUGGUAGGAGAGCGUUCUAAGGGCGGUGAAGUCAGACCGGAAGGACUGGUGGAGCGCUUAGAAGUGAGAAUGCCGGUAUGAGUAGCGAAAGAAGGGUGAGAAUCCCUUCCACCGAAUAUCUAAGGUUUCCUGAGGAAGGCUCGUCCGCUCAGGGUUAGUCGGGACCUAAGCCGAGGCCGAUAGGCGUAGGCGAUGGACAACAGGUAGAGAUUCCUGUACCAGUGCUAAUUGUUUAACCGAUGGGGUGACACAGAAGGAUAGGGAAUCGCACGAAUGGAAAUGUGCGUCCAAGCAGUGAGUGUGAGA